CUAAACCGUCCUGCUUCGAUCGGCUCGGCUUGGCCAGGCCCGACCUGCCUCAGGCGUCAGUCCACUCCAUCCCCGUGUCACCGCUGGGGAGGCCUCAGGACGGAGGGGCCUCCUGUGGUGAAAGCUGCCCCCCGUAGCCCUACGCGUGCUAUCGCCUCGCACCGGCAGGCCCCCCAAUGUUGUUUUCCCUUGGCCCCAGCCGGAGAUAGCUAUUUUUAAAAUAAAGUCCGGUCAGUCGAGCCCAGUGGUACAUGUGCGAAUGGAAUGAGUCAUCGCCUCCACCCUUUUCCUCACCCACGUUCGAGGGCAGAAUAAGCGUCCUCCCUAGGGAGAGGCAGGCUGUGGGGCAGGAAGCGGAGAGGGACGGCAGCAGGUAUGGUUGGAGGCUGCUAGAAAUAGAGCGAGGUGUGUGGCAGGGCAGCGGAGAGGAACCCAGUCACUGAAGCUAAAAGUUGAGAUAAGGCACUUGAGCCACCUUCAGCACAAUAGCACAUUUAGGAACAGUGACUCCACCACUGCCUCGGGCAGCCUGCUGGAUAUUCCAGGUUGGAAUUAGGAAAAACUUGUCAGAAAGAGCGGUGAGGCACUGGCACAGGCUGCCCAGGGAGGGUGUGGAGUCACUGUCCCUGGAGGAGUUCAAGAACUGUGUGGAUGUGGCACUGAGGGACAUGGUCAGUGGCCAUGGUGGGCAUGGGAUUGCACUUGGCUGAGGUGAUCUGCGAGGUCUUUUCUGACUUUAAUGAUUCUGUGAAUACAUCUGAAUACUUUUCCAGCUACUGAAAUGGAUUACCUUUUCACCAGCCUUUUUGAACGAUCUCACACAUUCGAUUUUCCUUGAAAAGUCAACAGUAGUUGUGUCAUCACAGUUAGCUACAUACACUGUCAAACAAUGUUGCCAGAUCUCUGUAACAUCUUCUUCCUAAUCAUGACUGUAGAUCUGGCAGCGCCUGGCUUACUUUCUGAGGAGGGUGUUCUUGGACAAAGGCCUUGAGCUCAGUAAACCCUAGGUGCCAGCAGGACUGCUCUGCUCCGCCAGCAUCAAGGCCAUUGUGCUCCAUGUUCUGGCUCACUGUCGGUGGUAAAAUAAAUCCAGUUUAAAAAAGCGUUAAACCCUAAACUAUUCUUUAAAGUAACUCAAGCAUUCUCCCCAAAUACUUGGCAGUAUAGUUUUGGGCCUCUCUCCAAAGGCACUGAGCACUGUGAGAACAAGAUCAAAGUAACAAAGUCAAGAUGACAGCCAGGACAGAUCUAUGGAGCGUAGUAAGGGGCUGUGGAGAAGGAAUCUGAACAGCAAAUGAAGGAAAAAAUAAAUAGGGGAAAGUGCUGGAGGACAUUAAAUAGGGGAUGGUGUAUGGAGUUAAUGGCAGAGCAGAGGAUGUUGAGACUGGACAGUGUUGAAGAACAGCAAACAACAGAAUUCAGAAGGAGCCAGAAGGUGUUUGGCAACAAACAGAUUGAAAAAAAAUAGCUGAUAGAACUGAGAAGACGAAAGGAAGAUAAAAGGUGCCCAGCUGCUUCAUCCCUAGAGAGAAGUGAAGCUACACCGAGACAGAUCUGAUUCUCUGUUCCCAGAAGUACUUUGGAAGAAAUUAGCUUGGUUCAGGAAAACAGAAAAGAGCAGAAAUUUGAAUGGCUGACAAAAAAAGGUUCUCAGGGACAUGUAACAGACCUAUGAGAGCUGUGAAGAGCAGAUUUCAGGGUCGGUCUAUGGCUGUAACUUGUGGUUGAUCGCCUCAUGGGAACAAAAUGCAUAUCUCAUCUUGAGUGUAAAGGAUCUACAAAUAAAAACACAGUGAAAUAUACCCAACCUACUUUACAUCAGUUAACCCAACAGGAGGAUAUAUACACAUUGGGCUUCCUCGUAGAAUGGAUGGCAGAGGUGUGCCAUCCAUCACAGCAACUUUUUGGUACAUCACUCACACUUUAUGUGGCUACCAUAAACUAUUCUUUUCCAAAACAAAUAAUCCCAGUCCUGUCUCCUCCCCGCCAGGGACUGCUUUUCUAUGCUGAAAUCCUGUCUUUCUUAAAAUCAGUGGAAGUUUUGCCACUGAAUUUAAGUAGGGUCAACACUUUGCUGUUAUUUUUUAUCAUUUUAGUUAAUUAUUUUAUUUGAUUUCUAUAUCCUGGAUUUCACAGACUAUUCAGAUGAGCAUUCACUAUUUGUUUAAGUGAAGCAGUUAACUAUUUCCUUUUUUUUCUUCCCUUUUUAACAAAUCAAAAUAUUUGCUUUGCUUUUUGCCAGCAGAGCUAUGAGCAGUGUUCCCUCAGCCUCUUUGCUCUGAUUUGCAGUAUAUUGUAUGGUACAGAGGCGUGGAAUUGGAUUAAAAGCCACAGCACAGUGCUCUGCAGAUAAACCCACUGCAGGUGUGCAAUUUAAUAGGAUUUUAAUUUGGUAACAAGAGAACAAAGAGAGGAAACACAAAAUGGGAUUUUCUAGAUGAAAAAUUGCUACUCUUGCUGAGAGAAAGCAACUGGAAGCUCUAUGAUAAGGAGUGACGAUUAGGCCAAUGUUCUCCGAGUUGCCCUGUUACAUAUUACAGUUCACUCAGAGCAUCUUUGUUUGUGCCAUCAGUUCCAACAAUUCUUAGUUUAAACUAUUUGCACUCGGCUGGAUAGAGUUUAAUCUGCCAUGCUGUCCAUCAGGCCAGUUUGUUUAAAUCUUGUAUUGUCUCAUUCCCCUCCCUCUAUAUAUUUUUUUUUAUUAUAAAAAUAUUUUCAUUGGGAGAUGUCACCUGCAUGGAAUAUAUUCCAUUUGCAAGAUUAUUAACAGCUUUCAUGCUUCAAAUGAAAAAGUAUGUAUAUGCUGUGCUGCUCAAAAUACGUGUAAAAACAUGGUGUCUCUGCUGAGGAGUUUAAUUUAUAUUCAGCAUGAAGGAGAGGUGGGGGAUCAAAAACAGAUGGGGAAGGAAAAGGAAAAAUAAAGGCGGCAACCAAAAGAUCAUGAAGAGAUCUGCUAAGACACAGGCACAUAUUGCUGCUGAUGAUGCAAGGGCAAGCUUGGGAGAUUCUCUUCUGAUUUCUGUUACCGGUCCUCCCUCUCAUUUUUCCAGGGUUUCACAGCAGAACUGAGUUUUUAGCACUAAUUUCAAUGAGAUGCGGGUGGAGGUGCGAUGAACAGAUUUUUCCUGAGCAUAACAGGCUGUAGGGAAGGCACAGAAAUGCUUUGUGGGACAAGAUGAAAAAGAUACGGAGGUUGGUGUUGUUGGCAGAGGAUGAAGUGGAGGAUGGGAGCUACAGAGAGACACCAGACCCAAGAGAUCUGCAGAGGCUGUGUGAGGUGAAGGAUUUAAAGGAAAAAAAUCCAAAACACACCCUUGAUACACAGAGCAGUAAGUCAGGCAGCUGAAAUGCCAUCCAGGAAACAGCAGCUUGGCUGCUGGGUGCUGUUCAGGCUGCUGAGGGUUUGUAUACAGGUUCUGGCUGAAGGGGGAUUAGUAGGAGCAGGGACAGAUGGAUGCCUGGCAGAAUGGGAAGGUGAUCCAAAGUCACAGAAGACAAACUCUUUUGCAACGGGAAUCUACAGGGUAUCUAGUUCAGGGGAUCUACAGAGAUGGCAAUGUGAGCAAAGUGGUAGGUGGUGGAGAUGCUUUUGGAACUGCAUUUUUCAUCAAUCCAUGGAGUUAAGUAUGACACCCAAGGAGACAGAGCUGCAAUGGCUGAGGUGGGAGCUACCACCCAUUCGAAGGACACCAGUGCCAGAAAUGCCCACUCACUCUAUCAUAGCUCCUGAAAUCCUUCUGAGCUGCAGGUUCCAGUUUUUCAUCUCCAUCACUAGCUGCAGACACUUGAAGCACAGCAUCAGCAAGCUCUUUUUGGCUCUCUUUUUCAUUCCACCACUAUCAGCGUCUUGCACAUGGACUGGUGGAACCCAGGGUUUCAGGUCCUUUAGUUGGCAAAAUUUUCCUUUCUAAGCUCUUCCUAUACUUUCCCCAUCCUUCACUUUUUCCUUCCCUCCUUGACACCUUGGCAAGUCAUGCUACUACCCAUUUUGGGUUUUAUAGCCAUUUGCUCCUACUUUGGCACCACUUGUCCCUCACUCUAACCAGCCUUCCUCUGUUCUUGAGGUCACAUAAAAAUAUGCAAAACUUAUACAUUUAUUUAUAGGCACAUCACUUACACAAAACAAAACCUGUGUCAAAUCCUUGUCUGUUGUCACCUGUCUAAGAGCACUGCAGUUGUCAUAGAGGCCAUACAAAAGCCCCUACGGGCAGAGAUUCCUUGGCCAUACCCUGCAUCCAGCUCAGUUUUUUUUUUGAAGUUAAGGUGGUAUAGGAGGAUAGCUCAUUAUAGUGCAUUUCAAAAAUGAAAAUAGCUAUCCAACAUGCCCAUGACAUAUGUAAAACAUUCUUUUUGUCCCAUUUAUGCCCUUCUUCCCCUGAUUUUCAUUACUGAACUAGUUCUAGCAUAUCUCAUAUUUAAAAGCAAGUGUCUACCAAGAGUCUUUGUAAGUGGUAAAGAUGUUUUUCAAAACAGACAGUUUCCAGUCCUGGUCCUAGUUUAUGGAAGAUGAGUAAGUACAUCCUGGGAGGUGCAGGAUAAGCAGUAAAAUAACAACAGCAAGAUCACCUCAAAAAUAUUAUUUUCGUCAUUAAUAUUGUUGCCAUUACCAUUUGUUCUCCUCUGUGUUCUGGAAAACACAGUGUUCUCUGAGUCUUAAGUGCUGUUACUACACAGAAAAGAAAUCUGAAAACAGCUGAACAUACAAGUGAUUAAUAUAUCACUUGCAUUAACCGCAAAGGCUUGAUCUGUGUUCCAAUAUGUCCUAAGAUUUAGCCUUGUGUCCUAAGAAGACUCAGACAUUUCAUUUUCUACCAGCAUGUCAUCCCUUACGCUGCUAAUUGGAACUGACUGCAAGAAAGUCUGGCACAGCAGAAAGAUCUAAGGUGUUUCAUACUUCUGCAUCUUUUGAUAAAAGUAAUAGCUAGGUGGAGGAAAGAGAGUCUCUCAGUGCUCCCAGCAGUGAGAGGAGGCUAUGCUAUGCACUUUCUCUUGUGAUCAGUAAAUACCAUUUGGCCUGCUAACCCUCGAGCUGUGCCAAACCCAGCAGAACAAGGCUGCUCUUGCUUAGACAACACUUGGGGAACCUAAAGAAAAGAUGAAAGUCUUCUGGAAAAUGAAGGAAGAAUGGGGAAACUGUGGUGAGUGGGAGGUGGGCAAUGUGAAGGUUAUAAUCCCUUAACAAGGAUUGUGGGAGGAUGCCUUUUGGCUUGAGGUGUUGAUGACAUUGGACAUAAUUCCCUGCAAACCUAGAUUUCAUUAGAUCCACUUCACAAACAUAAAUAAACUAUGAAGUCUACAGCUCUCCUA